CAGCCGCCGCGGUAAUACGAAGGGGGCUAGCGUUGUUCGGAUUUACUGGGCGUAAAGGGCGCGUAGGCGGACUGAUAAGUCAGGGGUGAAAUCCCAAGGCUCAACCUUGGAACUGCCUUUGAUACUGUUUGUCUUGAGUUCGAGAGAGGUAAGUGGAACUGCGAGUGUAGAGGUGAAAUUCGUAGAUAUUCGCAAGAACACCAGUGGCGAAGGCGGCUUACUGGCUCGAAACUGACGCUGAGGCGCGAAAGCGUGGGGAGCAAACAGGAUUAGAUACCCCCGUAGUCCCUGUCUCUUAUAA
rnacentral:rRNA from 1 species